CCUACGGGUGGCAGCAGUAGGGAAUCUUCCGCAAUGGGGGAAACUCUGAUGCAGCAACGCCGCGUGGAGGAAGAAGGUUUUAGGAUCGUAAACCCCUUUUGUGAGAGAAGAAAAUGACGGUAUCUCACGAAUAAGCACCGGCUAACUACGUGCCAGCAGCCGCGGUAAUACGGAGGUUCCAAGCGUUACUCGGAAUCACUGGGCGUAAAGAGUGCGCAGGCGGGCUUGUAAGUCAGAUGUGAAAUGCUGUUGCUUAACUACAGAACUGCAUUUGAAACUAUUAGUCUAGAGUGUGGGAGAGGUGGGUGGAAUUCUUGGUGUAGGGGUGAAAUCCGUAGAUA
rnacentral:rRNA from 1 species